UACAUACUCCCUCCUCCCAAAAUUCUUGUCUUAGNUUUGUUUAGAUAUGAAUGUAUCUAGUAAAGUUUUAGUAUUUUGAUACAUCCAUUUCUAGACAAAGCUAAGAUAAGAAUUUCGGGACAGAAGGAGUAUUAU
rfam:Hordeum vulgare subsp. vulgare, WGS project CAJW01000000 data, contig: morex_contig_241194